rnacentral:rRNA from 1 species
UACGAAGGGGGCUAGCGUUGCUCGGAAUGACUGGGCGUAAAGGGCGCGUAGGCGGAUGGUACAGUCAGAUGUGAAAUUCCCGGGCUUAACCUGGGGGCUGCAUUUGAUACGUGCGAUCUGGAGUGAGGAAGAGGGUCGUGGAAUUCCCAGUGUAGAGGUGAAAUUCGUAGAUAUUGGGAAGAACACCGGUGGCGAAGGCGGCUCACUGGCUCAUUUCUGACGCUCAGGCGCGACAGCGUGGGGAGCGAACAGG